CGCGUGGAUAAUCUACCCGAUGGACCGGGAUAACAUUUCGAAAGGGGUGCUAAUACCGGAUAAGACCACGAGCACUUAGGUGUUUGCGGUAAAAGGUGGGGACCUUCGGGCCUACCGUCAUUGGAUGAGUCCGCGUACCAUUAGCUAGUUGGUGGGGUAAGAGCCUACCAAGGCGACGAUGGUUAGCUGGUCUGAGAGGAUGAUCAGCCACACUGGAACUGAGACACGGUCCAGACUCCUACGGGAGGCAGCAGUGGGGAAUUUUGCGCAAUGGGGGAAACCCUGACGCAGCAACGCCGCGUGAGUGAUGAAGGCCUUCGGGUCGUAAAGCUCUGUCAGGGGGGAAGAAAUGCAUGGGAGCUAAUAUCUUCUAUGCUUGACGGUACCCUCAAAGGAAGCACCGGCUAACUCCGUGCCAGCAGCCGCGGUAAUACGGAGGGUGCGAGCGUUGUUCGGAAUUAUUGGGCGUAAAGCGCGUGUAGGCGGUUUGGUAAGUCUGAUGUGAAAGCCCCGGGCUCAACCUGGGAAGUGCAUUGGAAACUGUCAGACUUGAAUACGGGAGAGGGUAGUGGAAUUCCUAGUGUAGGAGUGAAAUCCGUAGAUAUUAGGAGGAACACCGGUGG
rnacentral:rRNA from 1 species